rnacentral:lncRNA from 1 species
AUGACUACAGGCACACCUGUGGAUUCCCAUGCUGCCACGGGCAGAUGGAAGACUUCAGUAGAUAUGUCAAGUACCUGAGGUGGUUGACAUGUGAGAAUCAGUGUGCAAACGGUGUUAGAAGCCAGAUGCUCUCAGAGUCAGAUGACCAUGUGGAGACAGCACCGGCAGGUGCUUCGCAGUUUGAAACAAGCACUGUCAAAUUGAAGAGAAAGUAUUGAUUGGAGAACUGCAAGGUGUGGCCCAUAGAGGUGACUGUGGCCACUAUCAAUCAUCCUGUGGUGU